GACGAACGCUGGCGGCGUGCCUAAUACAUGCAAGUAGAACGCUGAAGGAGGAGCUUGCUUCUCUGGAUGAGUUGCGAACGGGUGAGUAACGCGUAGGUAACCUGCCUGGUAGCGGGGGAUAACUAUUGGAAACGAUAGCUAAUACCGCAUAAUAGUAGAUGUUGCAUGACAUUUGCUUAAAAGGUGCAAUUGCAUCACUACCAGAUGGACCUGCGUUGUAUUAGCUAGUUGGUGGGGUAACGGCUCACCAAGGCGACGAUACAUAGCCGACCUGAGAGGGUGAUCGGCCACACUGGGACUGAGACACGGCCCAGACUCCUACGGGAGGCAGCAGUAGGGAAUCUUCGGCAAAGGACGGAAGUCUGACCGAGCAACGCCGCGUGAGUGAAGAAGGUUUUCGGAUCGUAAAGCUCUGUUGUAAGAGAAGAACGAGUGUGAGAGUGGAAAGUUCACACUGUGACGGUAUCUUACCAGAAAGGGACGGCUAACUACGU
rnacentral:rRNA from 1 species